ACAGCACCCGCUGCCCCUCGCCGCUGCCACCGUGCUGCCCUGAGCGGGCUCGGGCUGAGGAAUGGGUGCAGGCAGGGGGAGAAACGAGGGUGCAGAGCUGGGCUUUGGCUGGGUUUUGAGGCAGGCAGAGCGGCUGCAGCUCGGCCCUCCAGACUGCUGUGGGUGUGUGUUAGAGCCGAGGAGUUUCAGAGGUCCCAAACCUGCUCGGGAGAUGCCCCUGAAGCCACAGGAGCCCUGGCACAGCCUGAGGAGCCCCCAGCCCGGCUCAUCCUUCCCCCUCAGCUCCUGCACCUCCCGUGCUGGUCGGAGUGAAAGGGCUCCCUGGGGGACACUGCCAGGGUCUGACCCCGAGGACAGGGGAACCCCAGCCCUGCCCUGGCACAGGCAGCAACAUCAAGAGUUAAUAGAAAGUCAAACCCAGCAAGCGGUUCUAGAAAAUUCUCAAAGACCGGAUAUCUCCUAGCUCAAUGUUUCCGGCCCGCCCUUGGCUUCUCAGAGAACAACAGACACGGGAGGGGUUGGUGGUGUGUGGUGCAGCGCUCCCAGGGGACCAGGCCUAGAGCUGACUCAUCUCAGCUCUCGCUCCUGCCCAGCCCACCAUGGGUAAGUUUUGUGGUUUGGGGGAUCAGGGGUGUGGGCCCUGAUUGUGGAGCUGAUCAGGGGCCGGGGUUGGGGCACGGGGACCCUGGGGUUCACCCCUUCUCCCCGCUCCUGCUGGGUGUCUGCAGGGCUGAAGGAGGGUGGGGCUGGGAGAGCUGCUGCUGCCCCCGGGCCCCUGCCCUGCCUGGCACAGGGCACUGGGCUCCAGCUGGGAAGAGCUUUAGUGCCCACACUCCUGCCCUUCUGUCUUUUUCCUUCUUAGCCUUUCCUGCAAUUGCCGCUGCAUUCUUUGUGGGACUUAUCGUAGGAUCAACAAUUGUAGGUGAGCAUCUGGCAUGGGAUGAGCUGUGCUGGGCUUCACAUGGGAGCUGCUGGGAUGGAAGGGGCAGCACUGGCUCUGGAAUUCUGCCUGGAAUUCUGCCUGCCCCCACUGCUGCAGCCCUGCACACUGCUCCUCUCCUGCUGCCCAUGGGGUGUCCCCACACCUGCACCCCCAGCCCUUGCUCCCUGCUCUGCUCCCUGGGUGCUUUUGGGGAGGCUGGUUCUGGUGCUGGUGGCAGGGGAGGAUGUGGGUCACAGAGACCAUCCUAACGCUGUGCUUUUCUCCCUGCAGCACUGGUAACAAAAAAGAAACUGAUUAUCCGUUGUAACAGUCGUGAUGGUCUUUAUCUAUCUGUUGGUGAGUGGGGAGGGCAGGGCAGUUGGACUGUGCUGAGUGGGAAUACAGUGCUGUACCCUGAGUUUACUCUGAAGCCCAACCAAUCCUUUCAAUCCUCCCUGAUCGGAAUGUGCCCAAACUGUAGGGAAAAGGAUCAAUUCCAAUGUGCUGGGAAGAGCCAGGAUGUGCUGGGGUGGGGGGUCAAGGCUGAGGGCAUCAGGGCUGUGCAGGCAGGUGUGUGACCUGUGGCAAGAACUCCUGUGUCCACUGGCAGCAGUGGCCAGAGACAGAAAGGGGGAGCAGAAAGGGCUUGGGUGUGCUCAGGGAGCAGAGCUUGCUGCAGGCCAAGUGUCUGUCACACAUUGAGGAGAUCCCUACUGGAGAGACAUUGCUGGCUGUUCCUGCCUCGUGCUUGUCCAUCAGCAGGCAGCCCUGAUGCUUCUGGGACAUGACACUCCUGUCUUUAUAGGGGGAGAAGAAAAAGACAACGAUCCCAGUAGCAGUCCAAGCAAUGCACUCCAGAAGAAGGGAUGUUGAACACUGCCAGUGAACAGAAGUACAUUUCCUAACUUGCAGGCAGCCUGAUUCCUGCCUUCCCUCUGCUGCAACUGGAAAGCAUCCCUGGCCCCCAGCUGCCCCUUUAAAACAAUAUUAUUACGUUGUAAAAUAAAUGCUUUGAAAACUUUAAUAAAACUGCAGACUGGUGUGUGUGUGUGGUGUUCCUUGGCGUGUGUCGUGGCUCAGGUAGCUGCCCUGCACCUGGGGAUUUGCAGGAAGGGAUUGCAGCAGGCAGUGUUUCCAGCCUUGCCCCCUGUCCCCCUGCACAGCGAGGGGCUGGCUCCACUGAACCCUGACAGUGCUGGCAGUCCCUGGGAGCCCAGCACUGCUCCAGCAAAUCCUCAGGGCAGCAUCGCCCUGCACUGCAGGGCCGGCAGAGCCCGAGGGGUUCAGUGGGUGCAGCUCUGCAGCCUCGGGCUCAGGACACCCACUCACUUUGAUUUGGGCUGGGACAGGGGAGCUGGUCCUGCCACACACGCUGUGCCCCACUGCUCCUGCUGGGCUGGGGCCUGUCCUGGGUCCUGGGAGCCGUGUCUGGGAUCCUCAUGGCCGGAUCCCUGGGGAGCUCCUGGGGUGCUGGCAGAGCAUCCUGGGCUAGCAGGGCUGUGGUGGCAGCCACAGUGGUGGCUCAGGA
rnacentral:lncRNA from 1 species